GGCAGAGAGAGCCCGGUUCCCGUGUCCUGUCAGGUAGGUUAUCUAUCUGUUGGACAUGAGGAAAGUCCCCCCACCGUCCGGACGGGUGACCGGGCGCAAGCCCGGAGUCGGAGACGACUGGCUCUGGAACAGAAACGAGACCUCUCGGUCCGACCGAUGAGACGCGUGCGGCGGAUGAAUCCGCUGCCGGCGCGAACGGGUGACCCCGUUCGCGUGCGAACCGACCCGUAAGGGGAGGGAGUUGACCCGUCGAGGGGAGCGCGCCCACAAUGUGGCCGCGUCUGGCGAACGGGAUACCCGUUUGCUCCGGGGUGACGGCAGUUGCCUCGGCCGCGACUGAACGCCUCGCGUUCGGUCGUAGACGACCGAGAACGGAUGGAACGGCGAAUCCUCACCGGUGCAAGUCCGCGCCGCUAAGGUAGUCCGGACAGCACGUUCGGGUUCGCCCGGCGUGCCCCCAAUUUUGGGGAGGACGCGGACGCUCAGCCGAAUGCCGGGUCGAAACAGAAGGGGGCUUACUCCUCUCAGCC
rnacentral:RNase_P_RNA from 2 species